rnacentral:rRNA from 1 species
AGAGUUUGAUCCUGGCUCAGGACGAACGCUGGCGGCGCGCCUAACACAUGCAAGUCGAACGAAGUCAAGAGGAGCUUGCUCUUUUUGACUUAGUGGCGAACGGGUGAGUAACGCGUGAGGAACCUGCCUCAAAGAGGGGGACAACAGUUGGAAACGACUGCUAAUACCGCAUAAGCCCACAGCUCCGCAUGGAGCAGAGGGAAAAGGAGCAAUCCGCUUUGAGAUGGCCUCGCGUCCGAUUAGCUAGUUGGUGAGGUAACGGCCCACCAAGGCGACGAUCGGUAGCCGGACUGAGAGGUUGAACGGCCACAUUGGGACUGAGACACGGCCCAGACUCCUACGGGAGGCAGCAGUGGGGAAUAUUGCACAAUGGGGGAAACCCUGAUGCAGCGACGCCGCGUGGAGGAAGAAGGUCUUCGGAUUGUAAACUCCUGUUGUUGGGGAAGAUAAUGACGGUACCCAACAAGGAAGUGACGGCUAACUACGUGCCAGCAGCCGCGGUAAAACGUAGGUCACAAGCGUUGUCCGGAAUUACUGGGUGUAAAGGGAGCGCAGGCGGGAAGACAAGUUGGAAGUGAAAUCUAUGGGCUCAACCCAUAAACUGCUUUCAAAACUGUUUUUCUUGAGUAGUGCAGAGGUAGGCGGAAUUCCCGGUGUAGCGGUGGAAUGCGUAGAUAUCGGGAGGAACACCAGUGGCGAAGGCGGCCUACUGGGCACCAACUGACGCUGAGGCUCGAAAGUGUGGGUAGCAAACAGGAUUAGAUACCCUGGUAGUCCACACUGUAAACGAUGAUUACUAGGUGUUGGGGGAUUGACCCCCUCAGUGCCGCAGUUAACACAAUAAGUAAUCCACCUGGGGAGUACGACCGCAAGGUUGAAACUCAAAGGAAUUGACGGGGGCCCGCACAAGCAGUGGAGUAU